CACGUAGGGCGCGAGCGUUGUCCGGAAUUAUUGGGCGUAAAGAGCUCGUAGGCGGUCUGUCGCGUCGGCUGUGAAAACCCAGGGCUCAACCCUGGGCCUGCAGUCGAUACGGGCAGACUAGAGUCCGGCAGGGGAGACUGGAAUUCCUGGUGUAGCGGUGAAAUGCGCAGAUAUCAGGAGGAACACCGGUGGCGAAGGCGGGUCUCUGGGCCGGAACUGACGCUGAGGAGCGAAAGCGUGGGGAGCGAACAGG
rnacentral:rRNA from 1 species